ACAGGUACACUCACGCAGUAUCGACAAUGACAGAUCUGACUAGACGGAACUUAGACGUGGACUAAAUCCACAUGACAAGCUGGCAUUAACAAGAAACAGGUGAGAACAAUCAGGUAUUAACACGAGGUAAGACGGGGGCGUGGCACACACGAGGAUUGGACGGAGCAGGACGUGACACUCGGUAUGAGUUCUGUUCUGAUGCAACUGUGCAUGUCCCUCCUGUGCCGCGUGGGUCACACCCCCCUUCAGAUCUACCUUAGGUCAGCCUGCACACGGAGCUUCACCGCGGGACGGCAGAAAAGUAAGAAGGAUAUGAAGGGAAAUCAGAGUCCCGGAAUGACUUGCAACUUGACCUUAAAAUAAAAAAAGGAAUUUUCAAUAUGGCAUCAUUCAUAAAUGACGACAGCGCCUCUCCUGUGCCUGAGUGAUGCAGGCAUGUCCUAGCGCACUCCAGGGGGCGCUGGAGCAGAAUCGCCGGGAUGCCCAGCUUCCAAGCUCACAUACAGGGCAUUGGGAUGACCACCAGGGGGCAGUGUGUGACAUGAGGCACACCUGGGGAAACCGAGGCCUUCGAACACUCCUGCCUUAAAGCUCUGCUGAGAACCACAGAAGGUCUUUCAAGAAGCUUUGGAUCUGAGGUGAUGCUUUGGGCCCAGCUCACGCUGUGUAUGGCAGCCUUCUGCACUGAAUGAGCCUCCCAUUUCAUCAUUUUAAGCAGUUUUGGCAAUGUGGGGUCAUCUGUAAUAUUCUUCUGAAUUUCUGAGUUCAACUCUUGACUGAACCUUUGAUGUAAAAAAGAUAGAACAAUACCAGUUCCAAAAACAAAACUGUAAAUUCAAUUAAAUGUUUUUUUUAUUAUUAUUAUUUCUGACAAAUAUGCUGUGGGGAUAAAUAUGUGAAAAUACAAUCUGAUGGAGGGACAAUAAUGAGAGUAAUACAUUG